ACUGCCUGUGUGUUGGGCAGAAGGACCUCUGUCUCGCAAGCUCUGAUGACUGGAAGACAAGCAGAUGAAGCCUCCAUCUUUUACUCUAAGACUACUGUACCCAGAGCUAAGGUGACGCUGCCCCCCUCAACCUGGCUGUGACCUGAUCUCUGGGUAUAGCAAGGACGGCCUGCCUCCCCUUCAGGUCUUCCAAAUGCCACUUGAGCCUCAGAAACCCAGGACUUCCUAAUGGAGGGCCUCCCAGGAGCGAUGAGAAAUUUGUUAGAAACUUCCCACCUGCACCAGAGUAAGACUGAAGACUCCCUUUUCUUAUCUUCCUAAGGGAUCCAGUCUGGCCAUGAUGUAAACUGAGGACCUGUUUGAACAGUGUUUGGAGAACAUAAGAUACCAAACUCAGGAGGCCUUCCAUUUGCAGUAAAAUAGAGGAAGUGAGUAGCACAGCCCGCAUCAGUGGAGAAGAGAAGCAGUGUUCAGGUCAAGAGACACCAUGCAGGCGUGCGGAUGUAACUCAGUGGGGGAGCUAUAACCUUGUAAGUGUGACAUCCUGGGUUCCAUACACACCAAAGACAGACAGACAGACAGACAGACAUCACCCCCAGCCCACCUCCUGGAGGGGCAGUGUCAGUCGGAACCCAACCCUUUUGCUCAACACAUACUUCCAUAAUCAGGAAGUGAGACCAGCAGGAACAGGAUGAUCAGUUAAGUAGAAGUCUUUGCUAGUUAUUUUACACCUCCACACGUUUACUUCUAAGUCAGUUUUUGUGUCUUUAUUUAAGAGGGCCCUACUAGUCAAUCUCAAGCCUAUCUCUCCUUUAAAAAUAAAUAAAUGAGGACUAGGAAGUAAACAGCAAGAGUGCUCCCCUAGCGUGCUCAGACAGGGCCUGGGCUGGACCCCCAGCACCACAACUGAUUAAAUGUCAGUUGUAUCUCUGCCUUGGGAACAGACAUCACCAAAGGUGGUGAAAGACCCCUCGACCUCACCUUCACUGCCCUAUAGAGAUGACCCCGAAAGAGGUGGAUCAAUGGUUGGAGGAGGCCCUGAUCUCACGGGUCCCCCCUACCAGGCCCACCUGCCCACUCGCAGGAGAGGAGAGGCCUCAUGCCCUCCAAACCCUUCCUCCAGCCCUUCCUGGAGGGACAGAACUCUGAACUGGGAGUCGGAGGCCCGGGAGGCUCUGUGCCUGCUUCUGUUCCCACCCGGCUGGCUGACCUUGGGCAUGGCAUUUCCCACCCACACCUCAGUUUCCCUGUCUCGGAAAUGAAAGGUUUGAUGGAGAUCACGUGAAACCUCCUUCCUGCUCUCAACUUCCAGUUGCAUUAUCCUGACAUACAAACGUGCCUUGCAGAAACAGCAGCGACAAGCUGCUCCACAUUCUGUGACCACCCGCCUCAAUAAUUCGUGUCAUUUUAGAAAAGCGAGAUGCACCCAAAACUGAGAAUCAGGUUGUUGCUUCCCCGACACUGAACAUGACUGUGUGGAUUUUC